CCCUUAGAUGUUCUGGGCCGCACGCGCGCUACACUGACGAAGUCAGCGAGCAUGUCCUACGCCGACAGGUGCGGGGAAUCUUGUCAAACUUCGUCGUGAUGGGGAUUGAUUAUUGAAAUUCUUGAUCAUCAACGAGGAAUUCCUAGUAAGCGCAAGUCAGCAGCUUGCGUUGAUUACGUCCCUGCCCUUUGUACACACCGCCCGUCGCACCUACCGAUUGAAUGGUCCGGUGAAAUCUUAGGACUGCGACUUUGUCUCGUUCAUUCAAGACGCUGUCGCGGGAAUUUGAUUAAACCUUACCAUUUAGAGGAAGGUGAAGUCGUAACA
rnacentral:rRNA from 1 species